UGUGGUCGCAGUAUAAUAGGGAGAACGAGUGGACCCCGAGAACGAUUACACGCACUCAAGACAUCGUUAGCCACAGAAUCACCCAAUCGCACGACACUUUCCAGACUGUGGUACUGUUUGAUGUGGUCGCAGUUUAAUAGGGAGAACGAGUGGACCCCGAGAACGAUUACACGCAUUCAAGACAUCGUUAGCCACAGAAUCACCCAAUCGCACGACACUUUCCAGACUGUGGUACUGUUUGAUGUGGUCGCAGUUUAAUAGGGAGAACGAGUGGACCCCCGAGAACGAUUACACGCAUUCAAGACAUCGUUAGCCACAGAAUCACCCAAUCGCACGACACUUUCCAGACUGUGGUACUGUUUGAUGUGGUCGCAGUUUAAUAGGGAGAACGAGUGGACCCCGAGAACGAUUACACGCAUUCAAGACAUCGUUAGCCACAGAAUCACCCAAUCGCACGACACUUUCCAGACUGUGGUACUGUUUGAUGUGGUCGCAGUUUAAUAGGGAGAACGAGUGGACCCCGAGAACGAUUACACGCAUUCAAGACAUCGUUAGCCACAGAAUCACCCAAUCGCACGACACUUUCCAGACUGUGGUACUGUUUGAUGUGGUCGCAGUUUAAUAGGGAGAACGAGUGGACCCCGAGAACGAUUACACGCAUUCAAGACAUCGUUAGCCACAGAAUCACCCAAUCGCACGACACUUUCCAGACUGUGGUACUGUUUGAUGUGGUCGCAGUUUAAUAGGGAGAACGAGUGGACCCCGAGAACGAUUACACGCAUUCAAGACAUCGUUAGCCACAGAAUCACCCAAUCGCACGACACUUUCCAGACUGUGGUACUGUUUGAUGUGGUCGCAGUUUAAUAGGGAGAACGAGUGGACCCCGAGAACGAUUACACGCAUUCAAGACAUCGUUAGCCACAGAAUCACCCAAUCGCACGACACUUUCCAGGUUGGACCAAACUACUUCAAGACUGCGAAAAAAUGUGAAGUCUUUGGUGUUUGCUGUGAAGGUACAGGAAAACAGGUGUUUUACUUGGCGAAUGAGGGUGAAUCACCCGGGAAAGGCGCCAACACUGUUGUUAGCUAUGUGCAUUACUAGCAUUAUCACUACGGACCAGAGGAGAAAGAGGCAGUUUUCUACUUUGACAACUGCUGAACAAAAUAAGAACAACUGUGUACUUUGGUAUGCAUUGUGGAGAGUUAGUGUUGGACUGCACACUCGAAUGAGAUACUCGAUGAUGUUGACUGCGGCCACAUCAAGUUCUAGUCUGAUUGGCAUUUUAGAUUAUGGAAGUCAAAGUGUAGACUUUGUGAUGCAGAGACCAUCGAUGCUGUUGCUGAGACUGUAUCCACCUCCUCAAGGUCUGGACUUAAUGUGCCGCACAUGAUUGGUGAUUCGGAAAAGCCUGUGCACCUAUACGAUUGGAAAACUUUUCUUGCCCAGUUGUUCAUACCCUUGAAGAACAUUUGAAAGUACCAACAUUUUCUCAUUGAUGCUGGUAAACCAGGCUUGGUAUUUUGUAAAACAAGUGAAAAAUCUACAGUUGAAACUCACUGUUUGUUAAACUUUAAAGAGUGCUGACCUCUUACCAUCAAUGUCUAGCCAGUCUUGCCCAGCCUGAAUUAAAGGACCUUGACUCAGUAUCGCCUGACAAUGGUACCUUUAUGAGGAAAUAGGGCAGUUUUUUUUAAUCAGACCUCAGUAGACAAGCUACCUGUCCCAAGCCGAAUAAAAAAACAACAAAACUGUCUGUGUAAUUCAGAAGUUGCAAAAAACAUGUGCCCUGUCCUAUCUUUGUUUGUUUUAAGGUUGAAAAUUGUAUGAUCCUGUUUGUCAAAUAGCCUUAGAUUAUUUGUUUUCAUUACCAAGUUAUAUGUUAUUGUUUACCAUAAAAACUGUUCAUUGGUGAACUUUCCAGCAACAAUUACUAGUGUGAAAAUUGUAAUAUUAAAUUGGCCUGUGGCAUGGUUUUUUCUAAAUUGAAACUUAUGAUGUGAUCCUAUUUAUGUAAAAUGUCAUGUCUUGAAACAUGUUUUAUAAAAAUUGUCAAAACAUUUAGCCAUAUAAAUAAACCACUAUCCAUGUGUGUUCAUUUAUUAUGACAGGUGGUAAUAUAUAAGUUUUGUUGAAGCUCAUCAUACCCAUGAUUGCGAAACCCAUUUACAUGUAAAAUAAGAAUGUUGGUUGCUAUGGAAACAUUAUUUUGGCAUUUACUUAUGUGUUGAUGGAAUUAAUUCUAUUUAUAUGAUAAUGGUAUUAUGUUUAUUUUAACUGAUUUAUAGAAGGUAUCUUUUAAUGCCUUAAAAAUAAUACAUGUUCAUCUUUAAUUGUUCUGAAUUUGAAGUACAUGUUGUUAUGCCCCCCUUCAAAGAAGAGGGGGUAUAUUGCUUUGCACAUGUCGGUCUGUCGGUUGGUCUGUCGGUCGGUUGGUCCCUCCACCAGGUGGUUUCCGGAUGAUAACUCAAGAACGCUUGGGCCUAGGAUCAUGAAACUUCAUAGGUACAUUGAUCAUGACUCGCAGAUGACCCCUAUUGAUUUUGAAGUCACUAGGUCAAAGGUAAAGGUCACGGUGACCGGAAAUAGUAAAAUGGUUUCCGAAUAAUAACUCAAGAACGCUUAGGCCUAGGAUCAUGAAACUUGAUAAUUAGAUUGAUCAUGACUCGCAGGUGACCCCUAAUGAUUUUCAGGUCACUAGGUCAAAGGUCAAGGUCACAGUGACCAGAAAUAGUAAAAUGGUUUCCGGAUGAUAACUCAAGAACGCUUAGGCCUAGGAUAAUGAAACUUGAUAGGUAGAUUGAUCAUAACUCGCAGAUGACCCCUAUUGAUUUUCAGGUCACUAGGUCAAAGCUCAAGGUCACGGUGACUCGAAAUAGUAAAAUGGUUUCCGGAUGAUAACUCAAAAACGCUUUUGCCAAGAAUCAUGAAACUUUGUAGGUAGAUUGAUAAUGGCUGGCAGAUGACCCCUAUUGAUUUUCAGGUCACUAGGUCAAAGGUCAAGGUCACGGUUACCCGAAAUAGUAAAAUGGUUUCCGGAUGAUAACUCAAGAACGCUUACGGCUAGGAUCAUGAAACUUCAUAGGUACAUUGAUCAUGACUGGCAGAUGACCCCUAUAGAUUUUCAGCUCACUAGGUCAAAGGUCAAGGUCACAGUGACAAAAAACAUAUUCACACAAUGGCUGUCACUACAACGGAGAGCCCAUAUGGGGGGCAUGCAUGUUUUACAAACAGCCCUUGUUAUUAUUUGUGUUAAUUUAUGGCGGUUUUACUAUGUUGGUUUCGUAAACAAAUUGUAGUUAAAUUUUUUGGUCAAAUAAUGUUGUUCUUUGUCAUGUUUGCUAUAUAUGGGAAAGGAUUUACUAAUAAAAUUAGGUGUUUUUGCUGUUCAAAACAGUAAAAAUGGAUAUUUUAUCUAUUUGUUGCCAUGGUUACCAUGGUUACCAUCAGCAAAAUGUCUGUACAUUAAAACUUUUACCAGCAUAUAUGUAUGGCACUAUUAAAUUACAUAUAUGAUGUUUACGUUGUGCAAAGUCUUAAAGGGAUUGAAAUCAAUACACUGUAAAAUAUGUGGAUCUUUUAAAAAAAAACGGCAUGUUGCACUUUUACUCAACCUAUUUUCUUAGAUUCUUUGUGUUACUAUGUAUUAAAUAAACACCAUGUUGAAAUAAAGAUCAUUGACUGUGAGCAGUUUAAUCAUAUAUUUGACAAAAACGUAAAUAUUUAGUUUUUUUCCUGAUAUUUAAACAAUUUUAAUGAAAUUAAUGAAUUUUAUGUAAAUUCGUUACCAUAGCAACCGCUGUAUUUUAAUGAUUGCUUUUGUUCGCACAUAAAAUGUAAAAAUCAUGGUCAGUGUAGCUAAUGCAUUGAAUCUAUGUGUGAAUGCUAUACGGUAAAUACAUGUAUACUGUA